AACGCUAGCUACAGGCUUAACACAUGCAAGUCGCGGGGUAACGAGAGGGAAGCUUGCUUUCCUUGUCGACGACCGGCGCACGGGUGAGUAACGCGUAUCCAACCUGCCCAUUACCACGGGAUACCCCGUCGAAAGGCGGCCUAAUACCGUAUGCAGUCGUCAGAUGACAUCAGAGGACGACGAAAGGAUUGGCGGUAAUGGAUGGGGAUGCGUCUGAUUAGGUAGUUGGAGGGGUAACGGCCCACCAAGCCAUCGAUCAGUAGGGGUUCUGAGAGGAAGGUCCCCCACAUUGGAACUGAGACACGGUCCAAACUCCUACGGGAGGCAGCAGUGAGGAAUAUUGGUCAAUGGGCGCGAGCCUGAACCAGCCAAGUAGCGUGAGGGACGACGGCCCUAUGGGUUGUAAACCUCUUUUAUGCGGGAAUAAAAUGUUUGACGUGUCAUACAUUGUAGGUACCGCAAGAAUAAGGACCGGCUAAUUCCGUGCCAGCAGCCGCGGUAAUACGGAAGGUCCAGGCGUUAUCCGGAUUUAUUGGGUUUAAAGGGAGCGUAGGCCGCAAGUCAAGCGUGUUGUGAAAUGUAGAUGCUCAACAUCUGAAUUGCAGCGCGAACUGGCAGACUUGAGUGUGCGCAACGUAGGCGGAAUUCGUGGUGUAGCGGUGAAAUGCUUAGAUAUCACGAAGAACUCCGAUUG
rnacentral:rRNA from 1 species